UUCUCACUAGCACAGUGGUAGUUGCGUCGAGCUGUUAUUCAAGGGUUCCCACGUUGGUGUGGAACCUAUGACCGCUACUCGAAGGUCGUUGGUUCGACCCCAACGUGGGAAG